rnacentral:rRNA from 1 species
CCCAGACAGCCAGGAUGUUGGCUUAGAAGCAGCCAUCAUUUAAAGAAAGCGUAAUAGCUCACUGGUCGAGUCGGCCUGCGCGGAAGAUGUAACGGGGCUAAACCAUGCACCGAAGCUGCGGCAGCGACGCUGAUGCGUUGUUGGGUAGGGGAGCGUUCUGUAAGCCUGUGAAGGUGGCCUGUGAGGGUUGCUGGAGGUAUCAGAAGUGCGAAUGCUGACAUAAGUAACGAUAAAGCGGGUGAAAAGCCCGCUCGCCGGAAGACCAAGGGUUCCUGUCCAACGUUAAUCGGGGCAGGGUGAGUCGACCCCUAAGGCGAGGCCGAAAGGCGUAGUCGAUGGGAAACGGGUUAAUAUUCCCGUACUUGGUGUUACUGCGAAGGGGGGACGGAGAAGGCUAUGUUGGCCGGGCGACGGUUGUCCCGGUUUAAGCGUGUAGGUGUGUGUUCCAGGUAAAUCCGGUUCACUUUAACACUGAGGCGUGACGACGAGGCACUACGGUGCUGAAGCAACAAAUGCCCUGCUUCCAGGAAAAGCCUCUAAGCAUCAGGUAACAUCAAAUCGUACCCCAAACCGACACAGGUGGUCAGGUAGAGAAUACCAAGGCGCUUGA